GACGAACGCUGGCGGCGUGCCUAAUACAUGCAAGUAGACCGCUGAAGAGAGGAGCUUGCUCUUCUUGGAUGAGUUGCGAACGGGUGAGUAACGCGUAGGUAACCUGCCUUGUAGCGGGGGAUAACUAUUGGAAACGAUAGCUAAUACCGCAUAACAAUGGAUGACACAUGUCAUUUAUUUGAAAGGGGCAAUUGCUCCACUACAAGAUGGACCUGCGUUGUAUUAGCUAGUAGGUGAGGUAAUGGCUCACCUAGGCGACGAUACAUAGCCGACCUGAGAGGGUGAUCGGCCACACUGGGACUGAGACACGGCCCAGACUCCUACGGGAGGCAGCAGUAGGGAAUCUUCGGCAAUGGGGGCAACCCUGACCGAGCAACGCCGCGUGAGUGAAGAAGGUUUUCGGAUCGUAAAGCUCUGUUGUAAGUCAAGAACGGGUGUGAGAGUGGAAAGUUCACACUGUGACGGUAGCUUACCAGAAAGGGACGGCUAACUACGUGCCAGCAGCCGCGGUAAUACGUAGGUCCCGAGCGUUGUCCGGAUUUAUUGGGCGUAAAGCGAGCGCAGGCGGUUUGAUAAGUCUGAAGUUAAAGGCUGUGGCUCAACCAUAGUUCGCUUUGGAAACUGUCAAACUUGAGUGCAGAAGGGGAGAGUGGAAUUCCAUGUGUAGCGGUGAAAUGCGUAGAUAUAUGGAGGAACACCGGUGGCGAAAGCGGCUCUCUGGUCUGUAACUGACGCUGAGGCUCGAAAGCGUGGGGAGCGAACAGGAUUAGAUACCCUGGUAGUCCACGCCGUAAACGAUGAGUGCUAGGUGUUGGAUCCUUUCCGGGAUUCAGUGCCGCGGCUAACGCAUUAAGCACUCCGCCUGGGGAGUACGACCGCAAGGUUGAAACUCAAAGGAAUUGACGGGGGCCCGCACAAGCGGUGGAGCAUGUGGUUUAAUUCGAAGCAACGCGAAGAACCUUACCAGGUCUUGACAUCCCGAUGCUAUUUCUAGAGAUAGAAAGUUACUUCGGUACAUCGGUGACAGGUGGUGCAUGGUUGUCGUCAGCUCGUGUCGUGAGAUGUUGGGUUAAGUCCCGCAACGAGCGCAACCCCUAUUGUUAGUUGCCAUCAUUCAGUUGGGCACUCUAGCGAGACUGCCGGUAAUAAACCGGAGGAAGGUGGGGAUGACGUCAAAUCAUCAUGCCCCUUAUGACCUGGGCUACACACGUGCUACAAUGGUUGGUACAACGAGUUGCGAGUCGGUGACGGCGAGCUAAUCUCUUAAAGCCAAUCUCAGUUCGGAUUGUAGGCUGCAACUCGCCUACAUGAAGUCGGAAUCGCUAGUAAUCGCGGAUCAGCACGCCGCGGUGAAUACGUUCCCGGGCCU
rnacentral:rRNA from 1 species